GGAUAGGAGAGCAUCCAGGCAGUUUCUGGCACAGCAGAAAAGAGCAAGUUAGUACCCUGUAUGAAAACAUCAACCUCGUGGAGUUGAGACUCAUUCAGCCAUAUGAACACGUUAUAACGAACUGUAUCUGUGAGAUCAAACUUCAGAGCCCGGAAAUGGAAAACCUGGCCAUUGCCGUGAAGAGAGCCCAGGACAAGGCAGCCAUGCAGCUGAGUGAGCUGGAAGAGGAAAUGGAUCAGAGGAUUCAGGCAGCAGAACACAGGACACGGAAAGAAGAACUCUUUAAAGCUGAAAAUUGGAUGCGGCCUCAGUGAUUUCC